rnacentral:rRNA from 1 species
CCUACGGGAGGCAGCAGUGGGGAAUAUUGCACAAUGGGGGAAACCCUGAUGCAGCGACGCCGCGUGAGUGAAGAAGUAUUUCGGUAUGUAAAGCUCUAUCAGCAGGGAAGAAAAUGACGGUACCUGAUUAAGAAGCACCGGCUAACUACGUUCCAGCAGCCGCGGGAAUACGGAGGGGGCCAGCGUUAUCCGGAUUUACUGGGGGUAAAGGGAGCGUAGACGGCAGCACAAGUCUGGAGUGAAAUGGCGGGGCUUAACCCCGGAGCUGCUUUGGAAACUGGGCAGCUAGAGUGCAGGAGAGGUAAGUGGAAUUCCUGGUGUAGCGGUGAAAUGCGUAGAUAUUAGGAGGAACACCAGUGGCGAAGGCAGCUUACUGGACUGUAACUGACGUUGAGGCUCGAAAGCGUGGGGAGCAAACAGGAUUAGAUACCCUUGUAGUC